rnacentral:RNase_P_RNA from 1 species
GCAGAGGCCCGGAUGGCCGCUUCACGUCUUACGCAAUGUGCGUGAAGAGGAAAGUCCGGGCAACGCAGAGCAGCAUGCUUUCUAACGGAAAGCCGGUGGUGACACCGGGGACAAUGUGACAGAAAAUAACCGCCCUCCCGCCUUAGCGCCGAUGAAGGCGCAGGAGACGGCGCGGGCAAGGGUGAAAAGGCGGGGUAAGAGCCCACCGCCCGUUCAUGGCGACAUGCGGGGCCAACACAUCCCAUGCGUUGCAAGGCCAAGUAUACCGGCAAUCAAGGAUUGCUCGUCCGAUGCCGGAGGGUAGGCCGCUAAAGUAGGCGCGCAAGCGUCAGACUCAGAUAAAUGGCCAUCGGGCGCCCCUACCUUCAGCCGGGCUCCUCAGGGAGUCUUAACGGGAAGGUACAGGGAGCUUACAUAACCCGGCUUACAGGGCCUCUCCCCUU